GUCCCCAUCGUCUAGCCUGGCCCAGGACACCGGGUUUUCAUCCCGGCAGCAGGGGUUCAAAUCCCCUUGGGGAUACCA
rnacentral:tRNA from 1 species